rnacentral:rRNA from 1 species
AAUGAACGUUGGCGGCAUGGAUUAGGCAUGCAAGUCGGGGAAUCCCAGCAAUGGGGGAACCGGCGUAAGGGGCAGUAAGGCAUGGGUACCUACCUUGGGGUUCGGGAUAGCCAUCAGAGAUGGAGGGUAAUACCGGAUGACGUCGUGAGACCAAAGAUUUAUCGCCCUUAGAGGGGCCCAUGUGAUAUUAGCUAGUUGGUGGGGUAACGGCCCACCAAGGCGAAGAUGUCUAGCGGGUGUGAGAGCACGACCCGCGCCACUCGCACUGAGACACUGGCGAGACACCUACGGGUGGCUGCAGUCGAGGAUCUUCGGCAAUGAGCGCAAGCUUGACCGAGCGAUGCCGCGUGAGCGAUGAAGGCCUUCGGGUUGUAAAGCUCUUUAGUGGGGGAGAAAAGCCGCAAGGUGUGAUCUAUCCCAAAAAUAAGCACGGGCUAAGUUCGUGCCAGCAGCCGCCGUAA